GACUUAAAUAAUUUGAGCUGACCGUGAGGGUUCAAGUCCCUCUACCCCCAAAGCUAAAAAAAAUUUAUU
rnacentral:tRNA from 1 species